rnacentral:lncRNA from 1 species
CGGCGGUGGCACGCUCGGCAUCGACACCGUACGAUCUAAUUCCGCCGUGUUGGACAUAACCUGGCAUAAUCUUCACAAAAUCUUUUCUCCGGUAAGUAAUUCCAGCUUUCCCGCUUACAAUGCUACUGAAUCUAGCUGUUCCCGCCGGUACAUCGUCUCCGUAUAAUCCGAUUAUGAUCCUCCCGAUUGGUUCGCCGUCGAUUGACACGUCGAUGAACGCUUUCUUAGUCGGAAUCUGGGGAAAAUUGGAAACAGAAAUCGAAUUAAUAAGGAGACAUUGAAAUUGAAAUCCAGUUUAUAAACAUUUUCCUUACUCUGUUUUCGCAAUUUGUGAGAUUAGGGUUAGCAAUUGUAUCUGCUUGAGCUUUAGAGAAGUCGAGCAAUGGCGUCAGAGUUGUUUGAGUGGUGAGGAGUAGAAGCAACGAGGAUUUACUAAGAUUCCGUCGCGAUAAUUUGCA